GUGCUUGCUUCAGUAGCACAUAUAUGAAAAUUGGAACAAUACAGAGAAAAUUGGCGUGGUCCCUGAGCAAGGAUGACAGGCAAAUUCGUGAAGCAUUCCAUAUUUAA
ensembl:snRNA U6 U6 spliceosomal RNA